rnacentral:rRNA from 2 species
CUGACCGUAAACUAUGCCAUCUAACGAGUCGGUAUUGGUUAUUAAUUGCCAUUUUGACGAGUUACCCGGAAACGAAAGUCUUUCGGUUCCGGGGGGAGUAUGGUUGCAAAACUGAAACUUAAAGGGAUUGACGGAAAGUCACCACCAGAAAUGGAGCCUGCGGCUUAAUUUGACUCAACACGGGAAAACUCACCCGGUCUAGACACUAAAAUGAAUGACAGACUGAUAUAUCUCUCAAGAUAUAGUGCAAAGUGGUGCAUGGCCGUUCUUAGUUCGUGGAGUAAUCUGUCUGGUUAAUUUCGAUAACGAACGAGACUAGAACAUAGUUAAUUGUGUGUGAUAUUAUUAUUUUAUUACACGGUGAUAAAUGGAUAUGCAAAUUAAAUUGCCUGAAAACUGGCAAUAACAGGUCUGUUAUGCCCUUAGUUGUCCGGGGCCGCACGCGCGCUACAAUGGAAAUUGCAGUGCGUAUAUACUAUAUCGAAAGAUAUGGUUAAACGUGUCAAAUUAUUCCGCAUUCGGGAUCGGAGACUGUAAUUGUUUCCGUGAACGAGGAACUUCAAGUAAGUGUGUGUCAUUAGCGCACGCUG